AUACAUGCAAGUCGAGCGAACAGACAAGGAGCUUGCUCCUUUGACGUUAGCGGCGGACGGGUGAGUAACACGUGGGUAACCUACCUAUAAGACUGGGAUAACUUCGGGAAACCGGAGCUAAUACCGGAUAAUAUUUCGAACCGCAUGGUUCGAUAGUGAAAGAUGGUUUUGCUAUCACUUAUAGAUGGACCCGCGCCGUAUUAGCUAGUUGGUAAGGUAACGGCUUACCAAGGCGACGAUACGUAGCCGACCUGAGAGGGUGAUCGGCCACACUGGAACUGAGACACGGUCCAGACUCCUACGGGAGGCAGCAGUAGGGAAUCUUCCGCAAUGGGCGAAAGCCUGACGGAGCAACGCCGCGUGAGUGAUGAAGGUCUUCGGAUCGUAAAACUCUGUUAUUAGGGAAGAACAUACGUGUAAGUAACUAUGCACGUCUUGACGGUACCUAAUCAGAAAGCCACGGCUAACUACGUGCCAGCAGCCGCGGUAAUACGUAGGUGGCAAGCGUUAUCCGGAAUUAUUGGGCGUAAAGCGCGCGUAGGCGGUUUUUUAAGUCUGAUGUGAAAGCCCACGGCUCAACCGUGGAGGGUCAUUGGAAACUGGAAAACUUGAGUGCAGAAGAGGAAAGUGGAAUUCCAUGUGUAGCGGUGAAAUGCGCAGAGAUAUGGAGGAACACCAGUGGCGAAGGCGACUUUCUGGUCUGUAACUGACGCUGAUGUGCGAAAGCGUGGGGAUCAAACAGGAUUAGAUACCCUGGUAGUCCACGCCGUAAACGAUGAGUGCUAAGUGUUAGGGGGUUUCCGCCCCUUAGUGCUGCAGCUAACGCAUUAAGCACUCCGCCUGGGGAGUACGACCGCAAGGUUGAAACUCAAAGGAAUUGACGGGGACCCGCACAAGCGGUGGAGCAUGUGGUUUAAUUCGAAGCAACGCGAAGAACCUUACCAAAUCUUGACAUCCUUUGACAACUCUAGAGAUAGAGCCUUCCCCUUCGGGGGACAAAGUGACAGGUGGUGCAUGGUUGUCGUCAGCUCGUGUCGUGAGAUGUUGGGUUAAGUCCCGCAACGAGCGCAACCCUUAAGCUUAGUUGCCAUCAUUAAGUUGGGCACUCUAAGUUGACUGCCGGUGACAAACCGGAGGAAGGUGGGGAUGACGUCAAAUCAUCAUGCCCCUUAUGAUUUGGGCUACACACGUGCUACAAUGGACAAUACAAAGGGCAGCGAAACCGCGAGGUCAAGCAAAUCCCAUAAAGUUGUUCUCAGUUCGGAUUGUAGUCUGCAACUCGACUACAUGAAGCUGGAAUCGCUAGUAAUCGUAGAUCAGCAUGCUACGGUGAAUACGUUCCCGGGUCUUGUACACACCGCCCGUCACACCACGAGAGUUUGUAACACCCGAAGCCGGUGGAGUAACCAUUUGGAGCUAGC
rnacentral:rRNA from 1 species